GACGGGGGGGGCAAGUGUUCUUCGGAAUGACUGGGCGUAAAGGGCGCGUAGGCGGCCAGGCAAGUCGGCUUUGUGAAAGCCCGGGGCUCAACCCCGGAGGUGCGGCCGGGACUGCUUGGCUGGAGGCCGGAAGAGGAGGGUGGAAUACCCAGUGUAGAGGUGAAAUUCGUAGAUAUUGGGUGGAACACCGGUGGCGAAAGCGGCUCUCUGGUCCGGACCUGACGCUGAGGCGCGAAAGCGUGGGGAGCAAACAGG
rnacentral:rRNA from 1 species